rnacentral:tRNA from 1 species
GGGCUCGUAGCUCAGCCAGGCAGAGCAACGGGCUUUUAACCCGUUGGCCGCGGGUUCAAAUCCCGUCGAGCCCG